UAGCAGACAGUUACCCUGGAGCUGCAGACUCUGAAGAGCGGUGUUUGGCACUAGUGAUUUGGUUGAUUUUUCUAAGAUUGAUAUGGACUUUGGAGUGGCAUUUGGAAAUGGAAAUGGACUUAUUGAUGGAUGGGACAGCAAUUUCGAAAGAAUUAUCUCCUUUCUUCAGUGUGAAAGUCAUAUCAAGGAUAAAACAAAUAAAUUUUUAUUUGAAAAGAUUACCUGCCCAUGAAGACAUUACGGAAUGUACGGUGCAUUUUUUCAGUCAGGUACCCAGUGUCAUGUGUAGUGUGUGUG